rnacentral:lncRNA from 1 species
UAUCUUAAAAACAAUAUGCAUAUAAACAAUAGGUCGAGAUAGUCUAGGUAAAUAAUUACUACAAAAUAAACAUCAAUUUGAAAUAAAAACUAAAACCUUAAAACCUCAAAGCCCCAAAUUCAAAAUCAAUAUAUAAAAGUCGAAUUAACAGGUCGCUCAACAUACUCACGCAAAAUUCUGCUAAUUACACUACUGUGAUAGGAAUGAGAUGAGUGGGCUGGUACAAUAUAUGUCAUAAGAUAAAGUUGAAAACGUGACAUAACAAACUUUUUUCUUCUUUUAUUUCUUAUGAACAAACUUUUAGAAUGUGGUAUCUCUUGUUUGUAGCCUGGAGAGGAAAAGCAAAUUGUCAGGUAAAAAAGAAUAUCCCCACACAAAUAUUGAAUCGACAUGAGCAUGCUUCCCACUUUUUAUUAUGUAAAACAAUUAUUUUAAAAAUAAAGAAAAUCAAUUCACCCUGAAAUUAUGUACUUCCUGUCCUUCCCUUCUUUUUUGACAGAUCGAUGAGUGAAGGCUGAUGAAUUUUGUAGUUGAGUAGCGCGAAUUCAAGUAAAGUUGAUAAUAUGGCUUUUUGAGUUAUAGUAUUAGAUAUUAGAUGGGAAACAAGUAAAGUUCUGUAAAUUAAAUUCAUUAGAUUUUCAGGCAAAGACCAAGAAUAAGAUGAACUACUUCUUCACUAAAAUUCUUUAUAGGGCGCAAUAUAAUAUUCUGAUUCCCCACAAAAAGGAAAAUAUAGAGAAUAUAUCAGACAAAUUCAAAAUCUUAAUGGUUAAAUCAAAUUAAGGUGUCCUUUCGCAACAAAUUAAACCGCUUUUUCUUUGUAAAUAAUUAGUAUGCAUUUGGGUCAAAUUCACAUAGGAAUUCAGGAAUGCUAGUAUGUGAAAGUCAUAAACAAAGCUGAUGAAGAAAUAAGCAAGAAAAUGGCAAUGCCAAUUUCAUAAAAUGAUAAUCAUAUUAAAACAACAACGUCUCUCCCUCUCUUCUAUACCCAAAUAUACCCAACCAUUUUCCCCUAAAACUACAAGGAGGAAAUUCUUUCCAGAAUAAUGGAAAAAGAUAAAAUAAAAAUUUAACAUUGGUUCCUCAUGUACAAGGACUCCAACAUUGUAACCCCAACCCAAAACCUAAUACACAUUCUGAAAAAUACUUCAAGAUAAAUCACAAUGUCAUGCAUCUAUAUACAUAUAACAUAAAAUUAACAUUAAAAUUAAAAUUCACUCACUGGAAUCAGAAAUGGUACUCAGGUUCCUCGACUUCUUGCCUUGGUUACUAAUUUUGUCUUUGUUUUCCAAUGCAGCUUUUCAUUCUGUCCUAUGCNNNN